rnacentral:tRNA from 1 species
GCCUUCAUAGUGUAACGGAAACAUACUCGACAUGUAUUUGAGGAGGUCCAGGUUCGAGGCCCGGUGAGGGCG